rnacentral:rRNA from 1 species
UACGUAGGGUGCGAGCGUUAAUCGGAAUUACUGGGCGUAAAGCGUGCGCAGGCGGUUUUGUAAGCCAGGUGUGAAAUCCCCGGGCUCAACCUGGGAAUGGCAUUUGGGACUGCAAGGCUGGAGUGCGGCAGAGGAGACUGGAAUUCCUGGUGUAGCAGUGAAAUGCGUAGAUAUCAGGAGGAACACCGAUGGCGAAGGCAGGUCUCUGGGCUGACACUGACGCUCAUGCACGAAAGCGUGGGGAGCAACCAGG